rnacentral:rRNA from 1 species
UGAGGAAUCUUCCACAAUGGGCGAAAGCCUGAUGGAGCGACACCGCGUGAAGGAUGAAGGCUUUGUUGUUGUAAACUUCUUUUCUCUGGGAAGAUAAUGACGGUACCAGAGGAAUAAGGGACGGCUAACUACGUGCCAGCAGCCGCGAUAAUACGUAGGUCCCAAGCGUUAUCCGGAAUUACUGGGUGUAAAGCGUCUGUAGGCGGACUUGUAAGUUUCAUAUGAAAGACCGGAGCUCAACUCCGUGUUUGUAUGAAAAACUGCAAGCCUAGAAUUAGGGAGAGGUAAACGGAAUGGUAAGAGUAGAGGUGCAAUUCGUAGAUACUUACCAGAACACCAAAAGCGAAGGCAGUUUACUGGAACUAUAUUGACGCUGAGAGACGAAAGCGUGGGGAGCGAAAAGG